CACAGAACCUGCUUGCAUCUGACCCUCUACAUAUGCAUGGUGCUGCACUCUGCUCUGGAAACAGCAACAGGAUGGUGACAGAUCACUCUCACUGAGGGAUAUUUUGAGUUCUUCCCUGAACCAUAAGGAAUGUGUCAUGUAUUUACUGCUUUUCUUCACUGGCCUUCUGGAACCC
rnacentral:lncRNA from 1 species